rnacentral:rRNA from 1 species
UACGGGGGGAGCAAGCGUUGUUCGGAUUUACUGGGCGUAAAGGGCGCGUAGGCGGCGCAACAAGUCACUUGUGAAAUCUCCGGGCUUAACCCGGAGCGGCCAAGUGAUACUGUCGUGCUAGAGUGCGGAAGGGGCUACUGGAAUUCUCGGUGUAGCGGUGAAAUGCGUAGAUAUCGAGAGGAACACCUGCGGCGAAGGCGGGUAGCUGGGCCGACACUGACGCUGAGGCGCGAUAGCGUGGGGAGCAAACGGG